GGAAGUAAAAGUCGUAACAAGGUCUCCGUUGGUGAACCAGCGGAGGGAUCAUUGCUGGAACGCGCCUCGGCGCACCCAGAAACCCUUUGUGAACUUAUACCUUACUGUUGCCUCGGCGCAGGCCGGCCCCCUUCUGGGGGCCCCUCGUUCCUGACGAGGAGCAGGCUCGCCGGCGGCCAAGUUAACUCUUGUUUUUAUUGUGAAACUCUGAGAAUAAAACAUAAAUGGAUCAAAACUUUCAACAACGGAUCUCUUGGUUCUGGCAUCGAUGAAGAACGCAGCGAAAUGCGAUAAGUAAUGUGAAUUGCAGAAUUCAGUGAAUCAUCGAAUCUUUGAACGCACAUUGCGCCCUCUGGUAUUCCGGAGGGCAUGCCUGUUCGAGCGUCAUUUCAACCCUCAAGCCUGGCUUGGUGAUGGGGCACUGCCUUGUGUAAAAACGAGGCAGGCCCUGAAAUUCAGUGGCGAGCUCGCCAGGACUCCGAGCGCAGUAGUUAAACCCUCGCUUUGGAAGGACUGGCGGUGCCCUGCCGUUAAACCCCCAACUCUUGAAAAUUUGACCUCGGAUCAGGUAGGAAUACCCGCUGAACUUAAGCAUAUCAAUAAGCGGAGGA
rnacentral:rRNA from 1 species